rnacentral:rRNA from 1 species
CGGCAAUGGCGUCGUCACACUGCAGUCGAACGAUGAAACUCUAGCUUGCUAGAGAUGAUUAGUGGCGGACGGGUGAGUAACAUUUAGGAAUCUGCCUAGUAGUGGGGGAUAGCUCGGGGAAACUCGAAUUAAUACCGCAUACGACCUACGGGUGAAAGGGGGCGCAAGCUCUUGCUAUUAGAUGAGCCUAAAUCAGAUUAGCUAGUUGGUGGGGUAAAGGCCCACCAAGGCGACGAUCUGUAACUGGUCUGAGAGGAUGAUCAGUCACACCGGAACUGAGACACGGUCCGGACUCCUACGGGAGGCAGCAGUGGGGAAUAUUGGACAAUGGGGGCAACCCUGAUCCAGCCAUGCCGCGUGUGUGAAGAAGGCCUUUUGGUUGUAAAGCACUUUAAGCAGGGAGGAGAGGCUAAUGGUUAAUACCCAUUAGAUUAGACGUUACCUGCAGAAUAAGCACCGGCUAACUCUGUGCCAGCAGCCGCGGUAAUACAGAGGGUGCGAGCGUUAAUCGGAAUUACUGGGCGUAAAGCGAGUGUAGGUGGCUCAUUAAGUCACAUGUGAAAUCCCCGGGCUUAACCUGGGAACUGCAUGUGAUACUGGUGGUGCUAGAAUAUGUGAGAGGGAAGUAGAAUUCCAGGUGUAGCGGUGAAAUGCGUAGAGAUCUGGAGGAAUACCGAUGGCGAAGGCAGCUUCCUGGCAUAAUAUUGACACUGAGAUUCGAAAGCGUGGGUAGCAAACAGGAUUAGAUACCCUGGUAGUCCACGCCGUAACGAUGUCUACUAGCCGUUGGGGUCCUUGAG